UUGUGAGUAAAUCCUUCCCGAAAAGGAUGAGGCCGCCUUGAGGCGGGUGGGACGAAGUAGGGAAGGGAUCACCA
rfam:Methanoculleus marisnigri MPJ_scaffold_981, whole genome shotgun sequence.